rnacentral:lncRNA from 10 species
CUCACCCCAUCCUCACCCCCACCACAUCCCCAUCCGUCCCCACUCACCCCAUCCUCCCAUCCUCUUCCCCACCCCAUCCAUGUCACAGUUCAUGGGAAGCCUGGUGCACAUGUGUAGAACCAGAGCCACCCUAUCCCUGUCCCUCCCUUCCCUCCCCACUGGCUGAGCGGGAGGGGAUGGCCUGGGAUUGGCUUCCUACCGUUGCCAUGACUGUUGCUAGGAUCAGGGCUGUCUCCAGCCCCUGCAGGAAACAUGUAAUGAAUUAUGGAUGUCCGAUUUUCUCUGAGAGGCCUGAUCUGUAAUGCAGAUGAGCACCAAGUCCCCCUUUUCUUCUGGUUUCUUAAGAAAAAAAAAUCAGUUUUAAAUCCGAAGCUGGCAUUUGUGUAGUCCUGGCUGCCCCUUGCAGUGACCGCUGCCCGGUGUUGAUUCUUAUGCAAAGAGAGGGCCGGGGUCAGGGUCUGUUGUUUGUUCUGGAAAAGCUUGUAGGAUUUUCACCAGACCUUGUGACCUUUGGGGACAUUUUUUUUGUGUGUGAUCAGAGACAGAAUGGGAUAUAAACACUAGAAGUGACAUUUUCUAAACGUGAGGCACUUCUCUGGGCUGGCAGUGCCAGGAGCGUGGAGGGCUCAGAUCUCUGCUGGCAAAGGUGUGAGUGCUCUCCCUUCUCCCUCUCCCUCCCACUCCAGCCUCCACCCCAGAGCAGAGAAACGUUUGCCCAAAUGUGACUUAUACCUUCGUUCUGAGAGUAGGCACAGGUGGGCCUCUUCCAUUGGCUGCCCUUGUGGGCUGUGAGCAGAGAGGGCCCUCAUGUUUACUAAGUGCCCUUGUGGGCUUGGGGCCACCCCACCGCCAGAUGGAGGGGACAGAGGUGACAGGCGACAGGGCUGGGCUCCCUGUCCAGCUCCCCAGUGGCAGAGGUCCUCGGACAGUGGGAAUCAGAAGGGCGUCUUUGCUGGGCCACCCUUGGCAGGGAGUGACCUGAGCAGGUGCUUCCUGUGUGAGUGGGGGUGUCUGGGAACUGUGCAAGGUGCGGCCAUGUGGGCAUGCUCAGAGCCUGGUUGGACUGUAAGGUAGGAAGGCAUCCAGUCGUUCCCAUGGGCCAGCACAGAGGAGAAACAGGCAUGUGUGCGCGGGCCUGAAGGCGGCCCCUUCCCGGCAGUCUUACCUAAGCGACUGGUCCCUUAGGCUCCCAGCUUCGUGCCUGUCACCCAGCAUCCCCAUUGCCUCACGGUUCCCCCUCUCACGGGAGAAACGUCGACAGUGCUGGUGGGAACACAGAGAUGCCACCCAGGACCCCCGUGAGAUGCAGACACAAGCGGCUUUAACUUUACAAUGCAAUGAAGCAAAAUAUGCUGGCUUUGAGACCCGGAGGGCACGAAAACAGGGAGCUGGGGUUCUGGAAGGACGCCAGCUCGGCCUGCGAGGGGCUGAAAAAUACCUGCUGUUGCCUCUGUCUCGUUGAGAGUUGCCUCCCACCACCACAGAGGGAACCACGUGAGUCAAAGACAGAAAGAAAGGGACGGAAAAGAACUGUAUUUCAAAGAGGCAAGCCUUUAUAUUAGAAUGACGGCAACGCAGUUUAGGUGAAAAUUACAUUUGUCACCCCCACACUGGAGUGUUUAUUGAACGGCAGCUGGGUCAGCUCAAGGAAUUUCAAAGAGACGCAGGACACGAAGUGAUGGAUGAGUGGAAUCCUCCACUAAAACUCCUUCCAGGACACUGUGUAUCUGUCUACAGUUUCAUUCUCGCUUUCUUUCUUUUUAUUGAGGGCAUGCCUUGGACGUUUUGUUUUUAGUCUCAGGACCAUUUUAAUGAAGAGCCAUGGGUCACUGCUUCUAUUCGGGGUCAUGUACAGACAACAGUCAGUGGAAAUAGCACUUGUCUUUGAAUUGAGCAGAUAGAAAAUAGAGAAGGAAAGUCCUGGAGGAGCGGCUUUCCCGCCAGCGUCUACCUGUAGAGAGUGAGACGAAGAUGGAGACAAUUAACUGGACGAAGCAGGCAAAAUCCCCGAUAAUUGAGGCCGGGUGCCACGGGGUGACUUUCCCUUUCUGGAGUUAUUUAGCCAGUUUCUUUCUCUCUGCUGUGUGUGUCGACACAACCUUGGCCUCCCCCGCUGUAAAAUGGAAAAACCACAGCCGCAGAGCUCACCAGGGAAUUCUGCAGCUCUCGGAAUGAUUGCGCGCCGGGCUGACAAUGCGAAGUGUUAGAUUAACGUGAAAGUGUUCUAUGUUGGAACAUCGAAUACAGACGAGGCAUGUAAGAAAACGAUGUUUUAAGAAAUAUGUUUUAUGCUAUAUCAUUUCUUUUACUGAAAACAAUUGGACAAACAAACAAGAAAAGCCAAGGAAAAUGCGACCGGGACGUGGAAUCGGCCCGUCUGUGAGUGGAAGGAUCACACUCCCAGCUGAGAUAGAAAUAAAGCCACGCGUGCCUCUGUUUCUAUGCGUGGUAAAAUAAACAAGCAACACUUCGAGGAACUAUUGAUUCUGUUAUUAAAACACAGCCUGUUUGGUUUGCCAGAUCGUAGCCAUUAUUAAUGCAUUAUUAAUUCUAUGUAAGUGCCUGCUUGUCAGAUCCAUUAACCGGGGGAGUAAUUGCCGAGGGAGAGAGCUCAGAAGGUGUGUCACGCUGCUCGCUCGGUCUAGGUGGAACGAAGCGGAGGGAAGCCACGCGGAGCAAUGGAGGCAGCCCUGUAAGGCAGUGUCCGUUUCUGUCUGUGGCCAAAAUGGCCAGGGAUGUUUUUGGCCAAGCUGAUGAGACAGAGAUUGGAAGAGGAAAGUUUCAUACUGAUACUUCGGCUGGCUGGCUGCAGAGUAACCUGCAUUUUGGGCCAUUUUUGGUUAAAUGUAUGAAAGCAAACAUCCACAUAAAGGCUGAAAUGGUUUGUCAAUGACCCAGAGGCUGUUCCCGGGAUCUUUUGAGCCCUGGGAACCUGGAGGUACCUGCAGAGCUGAGCAGAUUGCUUCCGCAUCAAGGAAACAAGCGGGACUUGUGAGAAGGGGCGGUUUGUGAGGCCCCUGGCUGCAGGCACUGGAGGUCCUGCCACCCAGCGGCACAAGGCUGCCCUGCCUGCUUUAAGGAGGAGACAGGACUAUUGACUUGGUCCGAUUUGCCUGAACUUCUUGAGUUUCUCACUGCCCGUGGAUUCCAGUUGCUUUAACACGGGAAAUCGGACCUGCUGGAGGAGACCCUGCGCUGUCCUCAAAGACAACACUGUUUCCACUAACGCAAGGAUACAGCGUGAUUGAAACAGUGCCCCACCCAUAGGGUGGCUGGCAGAUUGAACGUGGUGCUCUGUGGAAAAAUGUGGUCUGGCCAUACCCAGUGCUAUGCACGUGUUUACCACCAUUGCCUCCCCUUCUCCCAUCUCAUGUUAUCGGUCUGUAAAGUGGGUGUCAUGAGUGACUUCUGGUAUCUGCUGAGGGGGGUGGUGUCUGGGUGAGGCCCGAGUAGUUGGAGGCUUUGGUUUUUGCAUAAUGGGACCCCUAUUUUCCACUUAACCCGAACCAAAGCGGAAUCAUGGAAGGCCUCAAUGCAGGCAGCCCUGAGGGCGCAAGAAAGUUUGCUUUGUUCAAAGGGCUCCUGGGAGCCGGGCGAUGGGUGACCACGCCAGGAAGCACCUUGACUUGGGUACUUUGCAGAAUCUUCCUCCCAGCGCACCUAGACUUGCCGCUGUGUGGCAGCUUUGACUCCCAGCCCAGUAACAAACACGUCCAUGACGCUGUGGACUGACAGAGACCGCAGAGCUGGUCAACGUGAGGAAUGGGGCCCGCGCCCCGGGGGACCUCCAAGGCUGGGGGCACGGGAGCAAGCGGGUUACUCAGGCCCACACUAACCGCACUUGUAACUUCUCUCCCUGAGUCAAGGCAAGUUUUCAUUCAAGCCAACGUAACACAAUCUUGCCAAUGACUGGAAAAAUAACUAGCUUUGCAAAAAUUUAAAAAGACUCAGAUAAUACUCAAAUUUGGAGCCCUAAUGAAGUGUGUAAACCUCAUGUCCACAGACUGUGUUACUGGAGCCAGAGGGGGAAGAUCCCUGAAUCAGCCCGCCUGGGGCCGCCCACGGCUGCUCCUUGCGUGGGAGGUGGCCCCAUGCGGCCGCUUCUCUGGGGGACAGAACAGAAACUGGGGCGAGUUUGGCCCAGCCGCAACAUCCAAGUCUGUGUUCAUUUAAAACUAACUGCCUUUGAUUGCAUUUGACAAAAACAUUGGUCCAUGAUUGACUGGAAAUAAAAUAAUGAGGGUUUGAGACCCGGGCUCCGACCUCCCUUCUGUUCUGGGCCCGUGUGAGGCCGGGGACGGCCCGGGCAGGUGUCAGCAGCAGGAGUGUUUUCCGGGGUCCCUGUGGAGAACGUCUCUCCGCAGCUUCUCCUGGAACGUUGUCUCCGAGGCUCAGCAGCCUCCUCACACCCCCUGGGUCCACACCUCAGACCCAUCUGCCCGCCCGGCCAGCCUGCCUCGUCGUUCCCCGCGGGCUCGUGCCUCAACAGGCAGCGUGUGGAUGCCACCGUCACCUUCACGGGAGAGGCAGGUCCGCCCUGGAGCUGAUCCCCUGAUGAGGAAAUGAAAACACAGAGAGGAGAAGGCACUCGCCUGAGGUACCCUGCCAGACGCUGGGGACGGGCUCACACGCAGCGGCCCAAAGCCUGCUGCCUCUCGGAGCAGCGGGGGUCUGGGACGGAUAUUGAGGCACAGGGCCUUGGACGUGCCCGUGGAGCUGCUCAGCCAGUGGGGAGUUAGCCAGCGUUUUACAGGCAAAGCUGCGGAGCUGUGCUGGUGCCUGUGUGAAGAUGCUGAACAUCUCCAGGGACAAAUUGGAGCCUGAAGCCUCAGAGCUACUGAUGAUGAAGGAAAGAGGCAAACAUUCAGGAGCCACAGUGCAAGCUGAGGACAAGAGAAAGGCAAGUGGGGCCAGGCCACACACACCUUGUUCCCACCUUUGGGCUUUUUAUCUUCUUCUUCUUCCGUUUGUGCCGUCUGUAAACCAGGGAGGAGAACGUCUCCUAGAGGGAGGGAGGAGGCAGACACCACAGACAGAAGUGGUCUCCAUUUCCUCCUCGAGGGCCAUUCCUGCGGGAAGCAGUCAAAGCUGGGGGUGCCAACGACAGCCACUUAGUGGGAAAGAGCCCAGGGAAGCUUUCUGCCUCUGAAAAAAAAAAUAGAAUUAUAGACUGUUCUAGAACAAGGCAUUUAUGCCAGAAUUCCAUCUCAGUGACAUUGUCAUUCACAGAGUUGCUUGAGCCCAAAUAUUAAGAAUCAUCCUUGACUCCUCUCCUUUCUUCCCUCUCCCACAUCCAAACCACACCUUUGCUUGCCAAAUCAGCAGUAGCUGCUGCCUGCUUCAUGCCCAGAGCUGCUCAGAGCAUGAUCUCUUUUCAGCAUCUUGACUACUCCCUCCCCAGCCCAGGCCCCCUAUGCUCCAGGAACUGUCUCUCAUCCACAUCUCAGACCUCACACUCGCGGGCUCCUUGACUGGGAAGGUGUUCCUGUCUCCACAGCCAGUCCUCCCCGAAUCCCUCCAUCUCAGAGAGGCCUUCUCUGCCCCCUGCACCCCUGUAUCAUCCUGCUUCAUUUUUCUCCAUUGCCUUUUCACAAUGUGACCUUAUACAUGACCCGUUUUCUCUCCUCUAUACUAUGAUGGGAUGUGGGUAGGAAUUUUGUUCAUCCUGAUCAUAACUGGCGUAUCCCCAUCAUUUAUAAAAGAGUCUUGCAUAUUCCAAUAGGCAAUUGCUGAAUGAAUGGAUUAAUAAUACUAGAAGGAAAAACUGUUGACAAGGGCACUGUCUUAGUCCAUUUGCGUUGCUAUGAAGGAACACCUGAGGCUGGGAAACUUACACAGAAAAGAGGUUUAUGUGGCUCAUGGUUCUGCAGACUGUACAGGAAGCAUGGUGCCAGCACUGGCUUCUGAUGAGGGCCUUGGGAAGCUUCACUCUUGGCAGAAGGUGAAGGGGAGCCUGCGUGUGCAGAGUUCUCAUGGUGAGAGGGAAGCAAGAGUCAGGGAGGCACCAGGUUUCUUUAAUAAACAGGUUUCACAGGGACGACUAGAGUGAGACUCACUGACUCGUUACCACGAGGGCCAGGCCAGCACCGAGCCAUGCAUGAGGUAUCUGUCCCCAUGACCCAAACACCUCCCACCAGGCCCCACCUCCAGCACUGGGAUUCAGUUUCAACACGAGGCUUGGAGGGCCAAAUACCCAGACCACAGCAGCCACCUGAGCCUGUCCACUCAUGCAGCUCCCGCACGGCUGGCAUGUUGGGGCAUGGCCUUGCCUAAGUGGUCCUGUCUGCCUCCCACCUCCGAAGAGCGG